GCACCGCAACGGGAGGAGCGUGCGGUUCAAUUGGAUUCAACGCCGGAAAACUCACCGGGGGCGACGGAGGGAUGAAAGCCAGGCUGAAGACCUUGCCCGAUUCUCCGAGAGGUGGUGCAUGGCCGUCGUCAGUUCGUACCGUAAGGCGUUCUGUUAAGUCAGAUAACGAACGAGACCCUCGCCUUCAGUCGCUAUCUCACAAGCGAUCGUGAGAGCACACUGGAGGGAUCGCUGCCGCUAAGGCUGAGGAAGGAGAGGUCUACGGUAGGUCCGUAUGCCCCGAAUCUCCCGGGCAACACGCGCGCUACAAAGGUGGGGACAAUGGGAUCCGACCCCGAAAGGGGAAGGCAAUCCUGAAACCCCAUCGUAGUCUGGAUUGAGGGCUGUAACUCGCCCUCAUGAAAAUGGAUUCCGUAGUAAUCGCGGGUCAACAUCCCGCGGUGAAUGUGCCCCUGCUCUUUGCACACACCGCCCGUCAAGUCAUCCGAGUUGGGUCGGAGUGAGGGUGACUCAUUAGGGUCGCUCGAACUUCGGUUCAACAAGGGGGACU
rnacentral:rRNA from 1 species